AUACAUUUAAAACGCGAGGUCUGCUAAAUGACUUCAUAUUGAAUAUACAUUUUGUUUGUCAUUUUAUAGAGAUAUACAUUUUACACAUACUCUUCAGGACGGAGUAUCUGAACCAUUGUUUUUGCAACAACCUAUUCCAGUUAUCACGGCGCCACGGUGGUCUGCCAGGGACCUAAAUGCACAAUCAAUUGGACAUGACAAUUUUUUAUAUUCUUGGACUUUUACGAGUUCUUCUUCUGUUCUGGAUCCUUGGAUAUUUCAAUGCAACUGGAGAUUUUUACCAUGACGUAAACAAUUGGAAAACGGCAUACAGUCGGAGCAAUUAUUGUGCAGGUCAUGCUCAACAAAAUUCGCCGCAUACUUGUGAUACUCAAUUAAAAGGAGCAAAAGAAAAAGGCAAAUAUGUUUCGUCAGAUAGUUAUACUAAGGCUGCAGUUGAAAUUGUAUAUAUAUAUACGUGGGAGAAUCCAAACACUUACCAAAACGCGAAUGCUUUAAUGCGUGGAGAAUCAAAUGGGUAUCUUGCUAACACGGGAAACGUAAAUAUGUUCAACACGUAUAUUAAUCUUAUGAAAAAAUCUUAUGACCGUCUUUGUGCCGUAUUUUCAAAUUAUUGCAACUAUAACGAUAAAGUUUUUAGAGGACAAACAUAUAUUCCUCCGGAGAUAGGUUCUACUUUCACUUUUCAAAGUUUUUUAAGCACUUCGAAGUCUAUGACCACAGCUCAGAAUUUUGCAAAAGGUCAGAUGAUUUUUACAAUUAAAGGCGUUAGUGGAUUGGACUUGGAUCUAUUCUCAGCCGUAGAUGGUGAAACAGAAGUUUUAGUUAAACCACAACUUAAGAUUAGCGUAGAAAUCAAUCUUAAAAAUUCUCAAUCUGAAAUUCAAAAGUAUAUAGAUCAAUACGAUGGGAAUUAUUACUAUCCAAAUAGUUAUGUUGAAGGGACUGUGAUAACAUCAGGAUCGGGGAGGUCAAAUGAAUCAAAAUGGCAUGGAGCCUAUAUAUUCCCUUUGCUAAGUUUUGUUGUUGUUUGCAUUGCAAAUAUUUGAUAAGAUCAAAGUUGAAUUUUGUAAAAUUAUGAAGUUUUUAGGAAAUUGCUAUCAAUAUCAUCGAUCGAUCGAUCGAUCGAUCGAUCGAUCGAUCGAUCGAGAGAGAGAGAGAGAGAGAGAGAGAGAGAAAUAAUGACACUAUCUAAAUCGUUAUAUGGAGUAAGUAUUGCCAAGAGUUUUGUUAAUGUACAAAUUUGAAGCAUUGAUAAUUGUAAUCAACUAAUAAUACUAUCACUUAAAAAUAGUUAAACCGGGUUGCACUUUUGGUUUAGACAUUAUUUUCCGGUAAAACGGCUAAAAAAACAUUUUAAUGAUUUUGUCACUGUCAGCUAACAACAUUAGAUUCAAUUAUGCAAAUAUAGUGAAGUGAGUACAGAAUAUUCAAGGUAAAGCUGGUUUUAGUAUAUAUUGGACUGUCAAAUAGAUACGUUUUCAAUGAUGAUAAAAUAAUUCUGCUCAAUGAUCUAUAGAAUAAACACACUGUUGAUUUAAUUAAUUAAUUUAUUUAUUAAUCAACAGUUUAUUAGAUGGCAAGUUUCAAACCAUAGGAAAAUUGGAUGUGUACUGAUUGAUAUUCAAAUCUAAGACAAUUGAUUGUUUUCAUUAGCGGAUAUUUACUUUGAACUAACUGUCAGUAACUGCGAGUACUCUGAGAUCUGUACUUGGUGUCUUUUUGUUGUUGGGAUGUAUAAGUUCCCGUUCACGUCUACUUUGUGUUUUGUAGAUGUAUUUCUUUUUGUAUCCAUCUGCUGAGUGAAUCCUUUUUCAACUGAUUUCUAUAGUUUGUUCUUAUGUUGUAAUGUUACCCAAUGUUCAAGAUUAGGGGAAGGUUAAACGCUCACAAACCUGUUUUACCCCGCAACAUUCUUUAUUUGCAUGUCCAAAGUAAGGAGCGUGUAGUUCAGUGGUUGUUGUUGCUUCAUGUUUGUAUUAUUGGUUUGUAUUGGUUCGAGGCGUAGCUGAGAGUCAAUACAGCUGAGAGAGACCCAAUACAGAAUCCACAUAAGCAAACCGGUUUUUAUGACACUUUUAUUAACCAACAGACUUAAACUAACCACCAAUAGCUGACUGAGGACAUAUACGAAAGUAGGAAGACUAAUACGGGAUGAAUAUGAACUAAUUGGAUUAAUCUUCAUUUAAAUGCAUGUGAUGUCGAAAAGUAAAAAAAUAAUACUGUGCGAUGAUUUAUCCUGAAAUGACCAUAUGAGUUUCUUGGGUUUUUUAAAAAUUCAUCUUCCAUCAACAUAACGUGACUGACCUUUUUUAAGGAAAAUGACAAGGACAGGUUAGAAGAGAGACGAAGAUUUUGAAAUCAAUCUGGUGUCGAGAGCGAGGAUAGCUUUUACAAAAGGUCCUUUUCAUGGCCAUAUUUAAUUUGUAGAAAGAGUCUUUCUUAAUUGUACAUAUGAGGCAUUUUAAGGUACAUGUUAAGAUACAAAAUAAUUAUCUAAUGUAAGUGUGUAGACAAAUGUUUACUACCGUGUGACAUAUGCUUCUUUAACAUGUUUUAUAAAGGUUCACAUAUAGUCAUCUUACUAUUUGUUUUGUACAAUUAAACAAAUGUGGCCCCGCGAGAAUAUUCAAGAUUUUCAACCAUGUAAUAUUCAAAAAAAUUUUUCUCUCAUUGCGCCAAUCAGAGAAAUAAUCUUUAACUGUUGACUGUUCUUAACAUUCUCCGUUUCUACCGUCCAUAACUGAAUAAAAAUAAAGAAAAAAAUCAUUGCAUAUGAAAAUAACAACAGCUGUUAAAUCAAACUUGUUGAGAUGUAAUGAUUCGUGUAAUACACACACACUUUUUAACUAAACACCAGUAACUUAUUAUUAAGACAAGUAAAAGUUUUUUGUUUUGACCGAUUGUUUGUACCUGACCUGUAUUAAAGACCAGUUCUAAGACACUCAGAAUUGUAAAAAAUAGGCAAUUCAUAGUUUAUCUAAAGUCCUUGGUUUAUUAACAUGUAUACUAACUAUCCUUUAUUUCCAUAUUAGAUUUACAAUGUAUAUCUUUAUUUAUUUUACUAAUCUAAUUUUGUACUUUUGUUAUUGUUGUCAAAUAAUAGCUUUUUUCCAAGAAUUGUAUAUGAUUUACUAAAAGACUAUUCUUUAAUAUCAUAUAAGUAUGUAAUAAUUUGUUAUUGUAGCUACAUUUAUACUAAUCAGAAGAUGAUUUGGAUAAAAAAAAGAGCAGACGGUUUAAAAUUUACUUUUUAUUGUUUUCAUUAAUUGCUGCAUGACUGGUGCAGAUUCUUUGUCUUUCAAACAUAUUAAAGGUACUAAUAAGAAUGUC